rnacentral:rRNA from 1 species
UACGUAGGGUGCGAGCGUUGUCCGGAAUUACUGGGCGUAAAGAGCUCGUAGGCGGUUUGUCGCGUCGUCCGUGAAAACUUGGGGCUCAACCCCAAGUCUGCGGGCGAUACGGGCAGACUUGAGUACUGCAGGGGAGACUGGAAUUCCUGGUGUAGCGGUGAAAUGCGCAGAUAUCAGGAGGAACACCGGUGGCGAAGGCGGGUCUCUGGGCAGUAACUGACGCUGAGGAGCGAAAGCGUGGGUAGCAAACAGG